CUUAAGAUUCAUCCUAUUUAUAACUUGGAUUUACUUGAUGUAUAAGAAUGAUUUAAAUCUUCAGGAAGGUUUUGUUUAUACAGAUAACUGAGCGUCCUGUGUGGGAGCCGCGGGAGCUGCGUGAGGGGAGAAGAAAAGGCACACACACAAUACCUUUAAGGGUAAACAAGCUUUAUCCCACGUAAAUGGCAAUGCAGAUAUAAUAAGCAAAUGAUAUAAUAAGGAAAUUAAUAUAAUAAGCAAAUUGAUAUAAGUAAAUGACAUAAUAAGCAAAUUGCAAUGGGAAGGGGAGAAGGGAAAAGAGAUAUACACAUAUUUACACUCACCAGACUAUGGAGGAUUCACCACCAGACUGGGAAGCAACAGCCUGGGCUCCAGAGUCGGCCACUCAUCCAUGCACAGAUGAGGAGAGGUCUCAUGAAGCUUCAGCGCAGCUGGGACCCUAGCUCUUUUUGUAACGAGUUGUUUGGCAUGAGGUCCGGUCACGAGGGCCCUUCAUUAUCGGUCUCAAGGAACACAAAAAGGUCAACUUGUUUUUGCGAUUGUGUGUUGUUUUUCAAUAACUAAUGUAUAGGAAUAGAUUGAAAUAGAGAUUCCUCCGAAACAGUGCUGGAUGAACGCCUCAAGGGGCUCACACAACCUGUUCAGGGACUUGGUGACCAUUGUUUGUGUCCAUGUUCAGUUGAGUUCAAAUUUAAUAUUUAACUUUUCUUCCACACUGAGAUACUGAAAAAGAAAAUCAAACCUAUUCAUUUACGUUUGAAGAUAUAAAGUUGUAAAAAGCCCCUUAGAAGCAUUUGCUAAAAUCUAGAUUUUCAAACAAGGUUUGUAAGCUGAAUUUUAUUUAUACUUUUUAAAUAUUUUAUUAUUAUUAAAUUUUAAUUUUUUGUAGACAUGGGGUCUUGAUAUGUUGCCCAUACUGGUCUCCAGCUCCUAGCCUCAAGUAAUCUUCCUGUCUCGGCUGCCUAAAUUGCUGGGAUUACAGGUGUGAGCCACCACGCCUGGCCAAUAGGUUGAAUCUUAAGGUUAAGAAAGAAUUAGUAGUGUUUUGAACUAGUAACUUUAAUAAAUAGAAACUAAUUGUUUACUCCAGAAAUAAACUUCCAAAUAGUCUUUUCUGUGACUGAAAACCAUCCUCAGGACUCAACCCAAAUAUGCAUCAAAAGGUGAAUGGAUAAACAAAUUGGGAUCUAUCUGUACAAUGGAAUACUACACAGCAACGAAAAGAAAGAGCAACUCAUUCACAGAACUUGAUGAAUUUCUAAAGCAUUACACUAAGCGAAGAAAGCCAGACUCAAAAGUUUCCCUGCUGUCUAAUUCCAUUUAUACAUAGACAAAACCAUGGUGGGCCAGGCGUGGUGGCUCACGCCUGUGAUCCCAGCACUUUAGGAGGCCGAGGUGGGCGGAUCACAAGGUCAGGAGUUCGAGACCAGCCUGGCUAACAUGGUAAAACCCUGUCUCUACUAAAAAUACUAAAAUUAGCUGGGCAUGGUGGUGUGUGCCUGUAAUCCCAGCUACUGGGGAGGCUGAGGCAGGGGAAUGGCUUGAACCCAGGAGGUGGAGGUUGUAGUGAGCCAAGAUUGUGCCACUGCACUCUAGCCUGGGUGAUAGAGUAAGACUCCGUCUCAAAGCAAAAACAAAAACAAAAACAAAAAACAACCAUGGUGGCAGAAACACAGAAACCAGAUCAAUGCUUGAGACUGGAGGAGGUGAUUGGCUGCAAAGGGUUUAGAGGGAGUUUCUGGGUGAUAGAAAUGCUCUAUAUCACAAUUAUGAGGUGAUUGCCUGAGUGUUUACACUGGCAUGACUCAGCAAAUUUUACAUUUAACAUUGGCGAAUUUUGUUGUACAUAAAUUACACCUCGAUAACACAGAUUUUUAAAAAUAAUACUAUCCUGGAGACUACCAGAACCCUCCGUAUUCAACAUGAGGCAUGAAACAGGACCAUUUUUUUGGAGAAUAAUGUGGGAAAGGGGAGGGGGCUGUGAGGAGAGAGGCCAAGUAAUCACAGAGUCACCAUGGAAACCAGGAGAGCCAGCCGGGUGCAGAAGUAGAGUAGGUUCCCCCACUCAAAGUCACCGUGAUUGAAUGACUCUUUUCUUUUUCUCUCUUUUUUUUUUUUUUUUUUUUUGAGACAGAGUGUCCAUCUGUCCCCCAGGCUGGACUGCAGUGGCGCAAUCUCGGCUCACUGCAAGCUCCACCACCCGGGUUCACACCAUUCUCUUGCCUCAGCCUCCCGAGUAGCUGGGACUACAAGUGCCCGCCACCACGCCUGGCUAAUUUUUUGUAUUUUUAGUAGAGACGGGGUUUCACCGUGUUAGCCACGAUGGUCUCGAUCUCCUGACCUCGUGAUCCGCCCGCCUCGGCCUCCCUCAGUGCUGGGAUUACAAGCGUGAGCCACUGCGCCAGCCUGAAUGAGUCUUUUCUAGCAGGUGUAGAGCAGGAGUCAGGUUUCGCCUGGUGUAUUAGUUACUGAUUGCUAUGUAACAAUGACCGUAAACCUAGUGCUUUCAACAAUGCCCAUUGAUUAUCUUAUAGCUUCUGUGGCUUAGGAGUAUGGCUUGGCUUGCUUAGCUGGGUCCUUGGCUCAGUAUUGCACAAGGCUACACGCAGGUUGUUGGCCAGGCUCACCUGGAGGAUCCUCCAGGAGAAAAGCCACUUACUCAGGUUGAGUAACUUACUCAGGUUGUUGGUAGAAUUCAUAUCCUUGUGCCAUAUGACUGGGCCCUGGCUUGGGCACCUGGUCUUUUUCUGGCUGCCAGCUGCAGGCUGCCCCUGAAGCCCUUGCGGCCACCCACAGUUCCUGCCACGGGGGCUUCUCCAACAUGGCUGAUUACUGCCUCCACCCAGCAAGGGCGUCUCUGCCUCCAGCCGGCUGAGUCAAUUUUUUUUUCUUUUUUUUGAUGGAGUCCCACUCUGUUGCCAGGCUGGAGUGCAGUGGCACGAUCUCGGCUCACUGUAACCUGCGCCUCCCAGGUUCAAGCGAUUCUCCUGCCUCAGCCUCCCAAGUAGCUGGGACUACAGGUGCACAUCACCAUGCUCAGCUAAUUUUUGUAUUUUUAGUAGAGACGGAGUUUCACCAUGUUGGCCAGGAUGGUCUCGAUCUCCUGACUUGGUGAUCCACCUGCGUUGGCCUCCCAAAGUGUUGGGAUUACAGGCGUGAGCCAACUGCACCCGGCCCUGAGUCAGUCUUAUACAAGGUAAGGCAGUCAUGGGAGCAGUAUCCCCUUAUCUGUGCCACGUGAUGCAGCUUGCUCACGGGAGUAACAUCCCUCACGUUUGCCAUAUUCUUUUGGUUAGAAGCAAGUCAUGGGUUCUGUCCGGAUGCAAGGGGACCACACAAGGCAUGGACAUCAUGGGGCAGGGGCAAGGAGCCACUCUGAAGUCUGUUCCACACCUGGUGACGGCAAUGGAGGGAGAGAUGGUUAAAGGAGAGAGGCUGCUUGCAAGGGGCAACGACAGAGAUGAGGGUCAAUGGGCCACUAGCUAGGGAGGGAGGGACGUGAAGCCAGGAAUGGCUGGUAAGCGGGUGGUAAAAUCAGUGGUUUGAAGACCUCCUUGAAGGGGGAGAAUUUCUGCGACAAGGAUCCUGAGCAGAGGAAGAGGAAGGAAGGGAAGUGGUGGCUGGAGAAUGGGAUGUUUGAAAUCAGGAUUCCUGAAAUGAGUGGCUUUGAGUGAUGGUGGGUUCUGUGAGGGAUGAUUGAGGGGGUGGGAAGGAGGUCAGUGGGACUGAGGGGUCUAAUGGCCUGCCUGCCUCCACCCUAUCCCAUCUCAGUUGGCUCUUCCCACUGGGCCCCCAGGCCCCUCCUCACAGGGAAUGCAGGUUAUGAAUCUCCUCUUCUCUGGACCUUCCAAUGCCCUCUUGCCUGCCUCAGAGAAAAUCUAAACCCUUCCCGUGACCCGCUCCCCUUCCCCCUGGUGGACUGUCUCCUGCCACUCUCUCCUGCUGUCUACACUGCAAGUCCACUCUAGGGUGGCCCUUGCUGCUCCCGGCCUGGCCUCCCUCCCCUCAGAGUCUCAUGGCCCCCUCCCUCCCUGAAGUUUCUGUCCACGCUACCUUUGGCCUUCUCUGUCCAUCUUAUAGAAAAAUACCACCUCUCCCAUCACUCUCUGUCCCCUAAUCUCCCUUUACCAUCAAACAUGGUACAUAUAUAUUUGCCUAGUGGUUUCUCAUUUGUCUCCCCCAACAGGAACGCCAGCUCCAUGCAUCUGGGGUUCCGUUUUCUUCAUUGCUGUAUCCAGCACCUACAAGAGAACCUGGCACAGACUCGGUGCCCCAUGAAUAUUACUGGAUGGAGGCAGACAGAGCUGAUCUCUGUGUCCUGAAGGGUUGGUGAGUUGAUACUGAUGAGUCAGAGGCCAAAGCCUUGUGAUAUAAGCCAGGAGCUGUUGAGAGGCCUGGAUACCCUCUCUCAAUUGUUUGGAAGGAGUGGAUACAGAAGAUACAGCAUUUCACAGGCUGUAGAACUUGACAGCUAAGAGCUCUGACCCCUAAUAGCUGUGUCUCCUUGAACAAAUUAGUUGAUCUUUUUGAGCCUCUGUUUCCUUAUCUGUAAAUUGGACACAAUAAUCAACUGAAACCUAAAUCAGGGAGUCAUGCAGAUAAGCCCAGACUCUGCAUGCAAAGCCCUUGGUACAGUGCCCACCUAUGGUGAGUGCUUGGUAAUUGCUGGGUAACAUAUAUUAUUUCUCUGUGGCUGUUUGUGAUUGGAUUUUCCACUAUGAUCCAAAUAAGCUUUGCUUUUUUUUUUUUUUUUGAGAUGGAAUUUCGCUCUUGUUGCCCAGGCUGGAGUGCAAUGGUGCGAUCUUGGCUCACUGCAACCUCCGCCUCCCAGGUUCAAACGAUUCUUUUGCCUCAGCCUCCUGAGUAGCUGGCAUUACAGGCUCCUGCUACCAUGCUCAGCUAAUUUUUGUACUUUUUAGUAGAGAUGGGGUUUCACCAUGUUGGCCAGGCUGUUCUCAAGCUCCUGACCUCAGGUGAUCCACCUGCCUCAGCCUCCCAAAGUGCUGGGAAUACAGGCGUGAGCCACCAUGCCUGGCCAAGCUUUGCCAAUUUAAAAGAGACGAGGUCUCACUAAUGUUGCCCAGGCUGGUCUUGAACUCCUGAGCUCAAGUGAUCCUCCCACCUUGGCUUCCCAAAGUGGUAGGAUUAUAGGUGUGAGCCACCAUGCCCAGCUCAUUUACUGUUUUUCUGAUCUAGGGCAGAUCAUUUUACUUGAAAUAAGAUUCAGUUUCCUCAUCUGCAUAAUGGAGAUAAUAAUUCCUGCCCUGGCUCCCUCAGUUAAACUGUUGUCAGGUGUGCAUGAACUAACACAUGUGAAAGCACUUUGAAAUGUUAGGUUGCUGUAUGAUAUGAGGUAUUAGUAUUUUUUCUUCUGGUUGAUUGGGUCCUUUUAGGGUUGCUGGAGUUUUAGGCAAUGGAUGGUUCAUUAGUUUUCUUUUUUCUUUUUUUUUUGUGUGUGUGUGUGAUGGAGUUUCGCUCUUGUUGCCCAGGCUGGAGUGCAGUGGUGUGAUCUUGGCUCACUGCAACCUCCGCCUUCAAGAGAUUCUCCUGCUUCAGCCUCCCGAGUAGCUGGGAUCACAGGUGCCCACCACCACACCCGGCUAAUUUUUUGUAUUUUUAUUAGAUAUAGGGUUUUACCAUGUUGGCCAGGCUAGUCUCGAACUCCUGACCUCAAGUGAUCCACCCACCUCAGCCUCCCAAAGUGCUGGGAUUACAGGUGUGAGCCACUGCGCCCAGUUGGUCCAUUAAUUUUCAGAGGCUCUAAUGGAAUACAUGGGGUGCCCAGAAUAUGGGGGGUGACUAUACUGGACUUCUUGGAGCAGAGCAGUGGAACCCAGAUUUUGCUGAAAGCCCUGAGCAAAAGCAUAGGCUUGAAAUGGCCCUUGGGCUGAGGGCAGUGUAGGUCAGUCAGCCAGCUUUCUGAGCUUCAGGGGCUGAACAACAGCCUUGCUCCUUUUGAUUCCCACAUGAAGCAAAAAGAAAGAGUCCAGAGAUCCUGGUGUCUAUCUUUGGAUAUCCAACACCUGCCCUGUUUUCACCUGCCACUACCAAGUAAUUAACGAGCGCCUCUCAGCAGCCCAAUCCAUGAGAGAUUCAACUUUCACAAAUCACCCCACAGCCCUCUGAGGUCAUGGCCUUGCACCAGAGCUACAGGGCUCAUUGUGUCUUGGGCAAUGGGGAGGAGAAAUCAGUGACAGUCAACAGGACAGGGAAGGUGUAUGCAUCGGCCAGUACCUCUUGCCUAGGCCAGAGCCAGGAUGGUGACAGGAGCCCCUCAGGAUGCCACAUGGUACUCAAUCCCUCCAGGUCAUGCUGAUCACCAGGCAGCUUGUGGCCCUUGGCCAUCCUAAAGCAACAAAACUUCUUGUCUUACACUAGGUUUUCUGAGGGAGUUCUCUGGGGAGGCAAGCCCAGUACAGACACUGCUCCGCUGGGAGGCAUCCAACCCACCCUUGUGGGAUCAGAGUGGCAGGUGGUGCCUCUAUACCUAGUUCCUCAAGCUCAAAGUAAACUGACCUCCAGGUCAAUGUGUGCGUGUGUGCGCACACACCAGUGAGUAGCUUCUAAUGUCCUUAAUUCCCUCAUUCCUCUCACUUUUUGAGCCAUGAGGUAAAGGUGAGGGGAGAGAGACUAUCUGCCAAUAUCCAUUCACGUGUAUUUCAAAGAACUGGCUCAAAUGCAUUUCCAGCCUCCUUUGCAGUUUGAUGCAGCCAACUAAGUUCUCACAAGUGAAACAUGGCUGGAGGGAGAUGUGCUCCUUCUGAGUGUUUAGGACUGUGGUCAAGGCUGAGUGUGGUGGCUCACGCCUAUAAUCCCCUCACUUUGGGAGGCCAAGGUGGGAGCAUCACUUGAGUCUAGGAGCUCAAGACCAGCCUGGGCAACAUAGGGAGGCCCUGUCUCUACAGAAACUAAAAAAGUAGCCAGGUGUGGUGGUGCACACCUGUGGUCCCAGCUACUUGGGAGGCUGGGUAUUCCUUGGGCCUGGGAGGUCGAGGCAAUAGUGAACCAAGAUCCAGUGAACCAAGAUCCAGCCACUGCACUCCAGCAUGGGCAACCAAGCAAGAUUCUGUCUCAAAAAUAAGUAAAUAAAUAAAAAAUAAAAAAGACGGUGGUCAUGUCUCUACCAGGCUCUCUUCCCUUUCCUGUUGGCUUGAACUUGUGGACACCUAGCUGCAGCCUUGUAGGCACAACAGUGCCCUAGUGGGUGGUGAGGGAUCAAGACAGAAGGAAUCCGGGUCUCAGGAUGUCUGUGUUGAAUGGAGCUUCCUGCUGACUUGGAAAGUUCACCAGGCAGUUACAUGGGAGACAAAUAAACUUCCAUCUUCUUUCAUCCACAGAAUGAUUGCUAGGCCUCUUUGUUAUAGAGGCUGAGCCUUACCCUUCCUUACUAAGCACAGGGGAGAAGAGCAUGGCAGAACCAAAGGCUUCCCAGGCUAACACAGCAGUCCAGCCCCCAGGCCUGCAUGGCUGCCAUGGAACAUCGCCAGGAUUGCAUCCCAAGGGGAAGCCUGGGAAGGAAGCAGUGUCCUGUAUUGGCUAAGACUGAAUCAGACAGGCCUAGGUCUUAAUUUUGGCUGGAAUAUUUAUUAGUGUUGUGAACUUUGGGCACUUUCACUAACAAAUUGAGUCUCAGUUUCCUCUUCUGUAAAAUGGUGAUGAUAGCGGUAGUUACUCACAGAGCUAUGUGAGAAUUUUAUGAGACAGUGUAGAUCAAUGGCUCACAAAUGUUUACUGUUAUUAAUGGGAUCAGCUAAUAGACCUGAUUUUUCCUACUGUCUCUCUCCAGGAAGGAGGGAAGGAGGCUAAUGUCUUGAGUUUUCCACAAAGUCAUAAAUAUUCAGUGCUAGUAAAUUACAAGUUCCUAAGGCUUUCAGCACACCUAAUAUUUCUUAGGCACCUACUAUGGGCCAGGCACUAUGAGAGGGACCAGGGGACAGAGAGGCCCCUGUGGAAAUUAAUUUCUGCAUUGCUCCUCAGAAAGCAUUAGCUUUCUCCAGGCCUACAGGUUCGAGUCCAGUCACCUACUGAAUGCCAAUCUACCUCAGCUUGGAAAGAAAUCCCAACCCUUCUUCCCGCCUCCUGAUGAGGUGCCUGGGCCCCACCCCACGCAAGUUAAAUCAUAAUCUCUGGGGCCUGGGUACCGAUAUUUUUAUUUAUUUAUUUUUUGUUAUAUUUAUUUAUUAUUAUUUUUGAGACAGAGUCUCGCUCUGUCGCCCAGGCUGGAGUGCAGUGGUGCGAUCUCGGCUCAUUGCAACCUCUGCCUCCUGGGUUCAAGCGAUUCUUCUGCCUCAGCCUCCUGCGUAGCUGGGACUACAGGUUCACACCACCAUGCCCAGCUACUUUUUGUAUUUUUAGUAGAGACGGGGUUUCACCAUAUUGGCCAAGCUGGUCUCAAACUCCUGACCUCAUGAUCCACCUGCCUCAGCCUCCCAAAGUGUUGGGAUUACAGGCAUGAGCCACUGCGCCUGGCCACGGAUAUUUUAAAAUAGCAUCUAAGUGUUUCCCAUGAAUAGGUGGAGCUGAGUCUGAACACUGCUCCUCCCCAGUCACCCCACAUCACUCCAAGUGCCAAGUUUCUUUUUUUUUUUUUUCUGAGAUGGAAUCUCACCUGUCGCCCAGGCUGGAGUGCAGUGGUGCAAUCUUGUCUCACUGCAACCUCUGCCUCCCGGGUUCAAGCAAUUCUCCUGCCUCAGCCUCCCAAGUAGCUGGGAUUACAGGCGUGCACUAUCAUGCCCCGCUAAUUUUGUAUUUUUAGUACAGAUGGGGUUUCACUAUGUUGGCCAGGUUGGUCUCGAACUCCUGACCUCAGGUGAUCCACCCGCCUCGGCCUCCCAAAGUGCUGGGAUUACAGGUGUGAGCCACUGUGCCCGGCCAAGUUUCUUAAACAAGGUCCCACCUGAGCAUUCACUUGGCAAAAUCUUCCAGGGCUCUCACUGCCUAUAGGCUGAAGCCCAGACUCUGCAUGAUGCUCCUGGCCUUUCAAUUUGGAUCCAGCCUCCUCUCAUUGAUGACACUAACGGCUAAGAUUGGUGGAGCGGUUCAUGUGACCCAGGCACUCUAUUGAGAGCUUUACAUGUUAUCUCAUUCAAUUACCACCUAACCUUAGGAGAUGAUGUCUUAGCUCAGUUUCCUCAUCUGUAAAAUGGGACAUUCCAAGAAAAGCAUUAGGUACAGUGUCUGGUACACAGUUAUCACUCAACCAAUAGUAGCCAUUACUGCAUCUUCCCCGCUUUAUUGAUGAGAAAGUUGAGGAUAAGGGAGGCACAGUCAACCAACAAGUAAAUUACACAAAUGGAUAUGCAGUGGCAAAUUCUCCAUGAAGGGAAAGAACAGAGGCCUUGUGAUAGAGGAACUCCACAAGUAAAGUAGUCGAGGAAGGCCUCUUGGACGAGGCAACGUUGAAGCCAAGGCCUGAGGGUCUGCAGAACUCAGCCAUGCACAGGGUAGGGGAAGAGCAUUCUUGGCAAAGGGAACAGCAUAUGCAAAGUGCUGGAGGUGGGAACAAGGCUGGAAUGUCGAGGAAAUGAAGGAAGGGCAGGUGGCAGAAGCUCAGGGAGCAAGUCUGGGACUGGCAAGAAAUGAGGCUGGAAAUGAGGUUGGGACCAAAAGAAGACCUUUAGAACAAUAGGGUAAGAGAGUGAGGUUUUCAAACUAAAGAUGAUACGAUAUGACCUGCAGCUUUCAAUUUCUCUCUGCUGCUACUGAGAACUGAUUGACAAAGCAAGAGGGAAGACCUUUCUGAGGCCAGGGCAGUGAUCUGGGGGAGGUGAUGUGGCCUGGCCAGGAUGGCUGUGGGUGCAGACAGAAGUGGAUGGACUCCAGAGAUAGUUUAGAAGUAGAAUCUACUGGAAGUUUCCAGAAGCACUAAAAAAAUCUUUAUUGGAUGUCCGCAACAACCCAUGCAAUGGGGUAGGAGUUGGAGACACCAGGAAGGCUUGGGGAUAGAAACACA
rnacentral:lncRNA from 10 species